CUCACCUUCUUGCCUUCCAGCCCCCGUGCCCUUGGAGGCUCCCGGACUCUCAACAGGGUGGGAGGAGACAACUUGGGCUGUGGAUCUGGCCUUCACAGGGCUAGUGAGCUGGCGCCUGCCAAAAGAGGCAGGCAGGAGAGUAAGGUUUCCAGGACCAGCAGCUCCUGCAGACUGCGUGGGGUUCCUGUGGGAGCAGGGGAUGUUCGCUGGCAGCCACCUUCAAAGUAAGUCAAGUGUUUCUAAACUGGGGCCGCCUGUCCACAGCAGCAGACAGCCAUGACAUAAACCAGCAGGAGCGCAGGAAAACAGACAAGAACAGAGCACAAGAGACUAGAAGUAUGCUCCCUUCAUCAAGAUUUCAAUCUAUUCAUAGUUCAGAAGACUUUUGUAAGAGAGAACACUUUUCAAGAAAUGUCACAAAAAGCCAAAACAGUCUCUGACUCUAAGCUGGAUUACAGCAAUAUCAACUGAUAACAUUUUGGAAAAAAAGUUUUUAGAACCAUCAAAUAAAGAAAUCAGAAAUAAAGUUCUUCUAGUUAAUAAUGACUACAGCAAAACCAGUAACAUUCAGUCACAACUUGGGAUGUUCAAUCACGUUUCUUCACAUUAUAAUCAUUAUAGUCAAUACCAUUUCCUGACUGUAAAAGAAUUUUUAAACUGUUACUAUGGUUUUUUUGAUAGAGGAGUGUACAGUAUUUCAUAACCUUUAUUCCCAAAAAAUAGCAUAAAUUUUCAGAGUCUGUGCUAUGCUAUGAUAUUGAAUAUAUGCUCCAACUUCUAUAUGGUGGAAAGAAUUUCCAAUGCACUGAGAGGUGUGGUUCCACAGCUGAUUAGAGGGCUGUGUUCUCAUGAAUGGGAUAUGGUACUUAUCAUGACAGUGAAUUCCUUGUCCCAAAUGUGGGCUUACUAUGAAGCAAAUUUGACCUCUCUUGCACUCUUCCCCUUGUCCUUUUCUCCAUGGGAUGAUGCAGCAUGAAAGCCCUCAUCAAGUCUCAGUGUUAUGCCCCUGGAUAUCCCAGUCACUAGAACCAUGACAAAUAACUUUUAUUAUUCAUAAAUUACUCAGCCUCAAGUAUUCUAUUAUAGUAACAUGAGGUGGACAAAGGCAAAAAAACUGCUAUUGAGAAGUUUUACAUGCUUUCAUAACAGAAGAGUGUUGUGGGUGGAUGAUGAUGAUAGUGGUGGUGGUGGGGGUCACUCUGAUGUUGCCCAUGUGAGCCAAAGUUCCUGUGGCAGUGAAAUGUAGCACAAAUUGACCGAUACAGAUAACGGGAAUGCAGACCUCCUUGAUUCAGAUGAUGAAGAAAGCAACACAGUGAAUACAUAUUUGAUAGUCAAAACGUUGCAAAAUGGCCACAGGACCAAGUGGAACAAUCCAAUGUUAGAACUAUAGAACUAAGUCAGAAAAUAUAGUGACAGUCUGAAUACGGGUAAAACGUACUGGACAGAAUGCCAGGACUGCCAUUCAAUGUUGGAAACUGUAACAGGCAAAAUGCUAUAAGAUGCUAUGAAAUACACAAAGAUGAAAUGCAUGUAAAUCAUUUUCCAUGCACCAAUAGCCACAUUUAAAAAUGUAUUGUGACACCUCACUAGCUGAUCUGAAUGCAUUUCUAGGGCUACUGUACUUAGCACAGGUUUUUCAUGGUGAUCACAGGAUUUAUAGAAAAACAAUGGGUCAAAAUAUGGUAUGAAAAUGUAUGCCCUUGGAGACACAAUGGCACACCUGUGCUUUCAGUUUAGGCAUUUAUCCUGGAACUCAGCCAUCAGGUCUUUCUUUGUUUGGAAUAAACUGAAUGAUGUUGUGAACAGACUUGUUGCUCCCAUCUCCCAAACGAACCAGAAUGUGACAUUUGACAAUUGUUUUACAGGUUUCCAAUUGGUGUUACAUUUGCUAACAAACCACAAUUGCUAACAAAUUGACCACUGCAGGGACUGACACAGGAACAAAGCAGAAAUUCCAAAUGAAAUGCUGCAAUGUCAAAACAGAGAACUGUAUACUUCCAUCUCUGAAUUUCAGAAAGAUAUGACACUGGCCUAGUACAUAGCAAAGAAAAGCAAACCGGUACUGCUGACGUCAGCAUUUCACCAGGAGGAAAACACAGAGAAACCUUCAGAAAACAGAAGUCUGAAAUGGAAACUUUCAAUGACAAAAUCAAAUACGGAGUAGAUGUUGUUGAGUUAUGCUGCAAAUAGGAUAUCAUUUGAAACACAGAACACUGGCCAGUGGUGUGUUUUAUUUGACCCUAAACAUGGGUGGAAUAAAUAGUUUAUUUUAAAUAUCAUGGAGAAAUAUUCUUAGAGGAUUGGAAUCAGAGCUCUUAAGAGAUCUUACGAGAUCACUUACAGCAGAGCAAAAUGUUUCUACCCAGAGACCUACAGUAAAGAAUGGAGGCGCACACUGGUGAGCUGACAGAGGUGGACAGGUAGGCACCGCAUCACGGAGACCUAUUAGACAACAGGAAAACAAAAAAGAUCUCAACUGCGCUCUACAAUACAGUACAGGAAAACAAAAAUACGACUCUCAGUGUAAGUGACACUUGUGUAUGGCACAUGCAGUUCUCAUUUGUGACGACUGCCUUGAGUGUACAGUUGAAGCAAUGCUUAUUUCUGCGGUAGACUUUUAUUUGUGUUUAUAUUGCAGUUUACAGGGACUUACUUUUGAUGUUACCUCUAAGGUUUUGUAAGCAAGCAAAGAGCUACUGUGAAAAUGCUAAUGUCUAUUUUAAGCACUCAUUACACAUGUGAUAUUUUAUUUUAUUGCCAUCUUAUUUCGCUACUAAGUGCAUGUUAAACAUUAUAGUAGGAAGCUAUCAACAAGGCAGGACAAGACUGCCACACAGAAAAGGCAAGCUAGGCACAAGUGCUAUCACUGCAAGCAAGAUGUGUGCAUGGAACAUGCAGAUGACAGGCGUGAAGACUUCCUGGGGGUGUGGAAGGUGAAGCAAGCUUAUUUCUGUGGUACAGUUCUAUUAGUAUUUUCAUUGUAGUUCAUAUAGGCAUUUAUUUGUUAUCUUUUAGGCUUUCUAUGGAAGUACACAGCUGAUGUGAAAAUGUUGAUGCCUAUUUUGAAUGCACAAUACAUAUUGAAAAUAAUUUAUUUUAUUGACAUUUAAUUUUCCUGUCAACUAUACACAGCACAAUAGGAACUUCCUGACAAAAUGGCAAGACCACCGAGACAUCAAGUAGAUCCUACAAAAAGACCAAGAAAGAAAAAGACCUGUGCUGUCAGUCUAAGUGAUGCAGGCAUAUGGAAUGUGCUGCUAUCAUGUGUGCAGAUGCUUUAGGUAUGACAAAUGAAGGAAAGUUUUUUUGUAGAGUGAUAUUGAUAUUUUCAUUGUAGCUCAUAUGAGAAUUUAUUUCUGCUCUUUUAGACUCUGUACACCAAAAACCAGCCAAUGUUCAAAAUUUUUGAUGCAUUUUUAUAAACAAUAAAUAUUAAAAAUCAAUA